UAAGGGACAUUUCCCUUCCUUAUUUCCAAAGUCAUCAGGGAAGGAACCAGUUCCCUGAACUUGGGCUGGGGGCAGGGGGGGGGGCUGUAUAACAUGGAGAGGACUGAAGCUGUGGCCUGACCUGGAGAGAUGGAGCUGACUUAUGAGGCAUCAACUCCCCCAUAUCUCUGAGCUUGCAUGUACUGGGCAAAGCAAGCUCUCACUAGUGCUCAAGACACUGGAAAAGCCCUGGGCAGAAAGGAAAAUUCAAAGUACAGACCAGAGGCAAGAAGCUGUCUGCUUGAACCAUAUCUGUAGGACCUCAGAUUCAAGACUAGCCACUCGAAUUCCUGCCUGGGUCCACACCACUCCCAGAGUGGGCUUAAGAAACCACCAGUCUGAUUACGUUAUGCCUCUUUAAUCCUAUAGUGGUUGCCUUUAAGAUAAAGAGCAAACUCUUUAGCAGGACAUAUCAAGUGAUUCAUGAUCCAGGGGCCACCAGCAGUUAGGACCCAUCCAUUCCAACUGCACAGUUACCUGAAAAGAAUGUGGUUCCCCACCCAGCCUCAGUCUUCCAACCCACUCUGGCAAACACCAGCUCAUCCUUAGGACUUCAUUCAGGCAUCGCCUGAAGUCCUCUGGUUUCCCUGAUCACCCUGAGGUGGACUUAGGCCCUCCCGUCUCACUCUUGUCAGAGCUUCCUAGUCAGUCUUCAAUUACGAUAUAUAUCAAAGCACAUUGCAAAAUUUGCCUUUUAGUUU